rnacentral:rRNA from 1 species
AAAUUGAAGAGUUUGAUCAUGGCUCAGAUUGAACGCUGGCGGCAGGCCUAACACAUGCAAGUCGAACGGUAACAGGAAGCAGCUUGCUGCUUCACUGACGAGUGGCGGACGGGUGAGUAAUGUCUGGGAAACUGCCUGAUGGAGGGGGAUAACUACUGGAAACGGUAGCUAAUACCGCAUAACGUCGCAAGACCAAAGAGGGGGACCUUCGGGCCUCUUGCCAUCGGAUGUGCCCAGAUGGGAUUAGCUUGUUGGUGGGGUAACGGCUCACCAAGGCGACGAUCCCUAGCUGGUCUGAGAGGAUGACCAGCCACACUGGAACUGAGACACGGUCCAGACUCCUACGGGAGGCAGCAGUGGGGAAUAUUGCACAAUGGGCGCAAGCCUGAUGCAGCCAUGCCGCGUGUAUGAAGAAGGCCUUCGGGUUGUAAAGUACUUUCAGCGGGGAGGAAGGGAGUAAAGUUAAUACCUUUGCUCAUUGACGUUACCCGCAGAAGAAGCACCGGCUAACUCCGUGCCAGCAGCCGCGGUAAUACGGAGGGUGCAAGCGUUAAUCGGAAUUACUGGGCGUAAAGCGCACGCAGGCGGUUUGUUAAGUCAGAUGUGAAAUCCCCGGGCUCAACCUGGGAACUGCAUCUGAUACUGGCAAGCUUGAGUCUCGUAGAGGGGGGUAGAAUUCCAGGUGUAGCGGUGAAAUGCGUAGAGAUCUGGAGGAAUACCGGUGGCGAAGGCGGCCCCCUGGACGAAGACUGACGCUCAGGUGCGAAAGCGUGGGGAGCAAACAGGAUUAGAUACCCUGGUAGUCCACGCCGUAAACGAUGUCGACUUGGAGGUUGUGCCCUUGAGGCGUGGCUUCCGGAGCUAACGCGUUAAGUCGACCGCCUGGGGAGUACGGCCGCAAGGUUAAAACUCAAAUGAAUUGACGGGGGCCCGCACAAGCGGUGGAGCAUGUGGUUUAAUUCGAUGCAACGCGAAGAACCUUACCUGGUCUUGACAUCCACGGAAGUUUUCAGAGAUGAGAAUGUGCCUUCGGGAACCGUGAGACAGGUGCUGCAUGGCUGUCGUCAGCUCGUGUUGUGAAAUGUUGGGUUAAGUCCCGCAACGAGCGCAACCCUUAUCCUUUGUUGCCAGCGGUCCGGCCGGGAACUCAAAGGAGACUGCCAGUGAUAAACUGGAGGAAGGUGGGGAUGACGUCAAGUCAUCAUGGCCCUUACGACCAGGGCUACACACGUGCUACAAUGGCGCAUACAAAGAGAAGCGACCUCGCGAGAGCAAGCGGACCUCAUAAAGUGCGUCGUAGUCCGGAUUGGAGUCUGCAACUCGACUCCAUGAAGUCGGAAUCGCUAGUAAUCGUGGAUCAGAAUGCCACGGUGAAUACGUUCCCGGGCCUUGUACACACCGCCCGUCACACCAUGGGAGUGGGUUGCAAAAGAAGUAGGUAGCUUAACCUUCGGGAGGGCGCUUACCACUUUGUGAUUCAUGACUGGGGUGAAGUCGUAACAAGGUAACCGUAGGGGAACCUGCGGUUGGAUCACCUCCUUA